UGUAUUAGCCCCUCAAGAAAUCUAACUGCUUCACUACUGAACAUGUUAUAAAAGCCCCAAAUCAUUAUAUAAAUAGUUCUCAACUAAAACUGAGGGGCAAGGCACUUCCCCGAUGCUCAGUAAUCUGAUGAGGGAAUUUCAAACUGUCUGAAGUUUAAACUACAUGCCAAACUCUCAGACUUCUCUCUAGGAUGGCAAUGACAACCUCCACUCUAUCUUCCAGGAUUUGAUCAGAAAAACAGAAACCAUCCAAGGUAAAUUCAGAGACAGAAGAUGGUACCAAAUGCAGAGGAAGACCAAGGUUGGAAUAACGUAUCUACAAGUCAAAGAAAGCCAAGGAGUGCCAGCAAACUUCAGAACCAUUCAAGGUAUUUCAAUGAAAGGAAGAGGUGAGGAAAGAUCCGCCCCUAGCACCUUCAGAAGGAGCAUGACACCUUCGUUUCAGAUUUGUAGCCUCCAGAACUGUAGGACAAUAAAUUUUUGUUACUUUAA